GCAGCUUUAUCUACAUCCCGACAUACCGUUGCUGACAUACGCUACGGAUAGCUUUUGAACAUUCAACAGUCAAUUGUGGUCGUCCGGUGCUGUGACUAUUAUUAUACCGAACGUUCUUCCUGUGCAACAUUUUGUAUUUAAUCAUUUGGGCGAAUUAGUAAACCAUUGAUGGUCAUUCAUUGCGGCCUGAGAGGGAAAACCAGUGAAGGAUUGGCGUCAGUGAUACAUUAUAGCUACUAGAACCUGCCGCCAUAGAGGAACUAUGUUGACUAGCUUCGAGCAACUAAAUUAGCUAGAAAUGAGCUCACCUUUAGUUAUGGAAGGUUACGGGUUUAAAGAGACAGGAAACUCCUUAGACCUGGUUAAAAAUGUUUCUAGUCAACAAAGGCACAUUUUCUUACCUUAGCGAGGAACGAAUUCAAAUCCCCAGAUGGGCUUGUGAGGGCUCACAAGGACAAGGUGGAGAUACCAACCAGGCCGCAGACACCUUUCUGAAGCUCAAGGACAACGUGGAGAUACCAAACAGGCCGCAGACACCUUUCUGAAGCUCAAAUAGAAUAUUACCUACCAGCAGUGUCAAAAAGAUUUUGGUGGAGCCGUUUACAUUUGUACUGGUCCAGGGUGUUGACUUAAUCUCUCUUACUGUAGUGACUUAAUUAUAAAAUGUAUCUAUUGCCUGUGGUAAUUUACAUUGGUAUGGCUGAGUAAUUGCUUAUUAUCUAGAAAGAGACGGCAAGGACAAAGCCAUAGACCACGGAUAUAGCAUGCUUUAUACUAACACAUCAUUGGUCUUAAACAGCCCACUACAAAAGCAAUUAACCUCAACGACCAUCAAGGGGAUACAGUAAUUGACUAUGUUAACAUUUGCUGUCCGGCCAAUGUUUUGAAGUUUCUAAUUAACAUUAUCAGUAAUGAUGCGAUGCACAUGAUUAAAGCUCAUGGCACAAUG